rnacentral:rRNA from 1 species
GGCGGCAUGCCUAACAAUGCAAGUCGAACGCUCACCGGGGUUUCGGCUCUGGUGGGAGAGGCGCACGGGUGAUUAGCGCGUGGGAACCUGCCCUUUUGUGGGGGAUAACCGAGGGAAACUUCGGCUAAUACCGCAUGCGCCCCUGGGGUGACCUGGGGGGAAAGAUUGAUCGCAGGAGGAGGGGCCCGCGUCGGAUUAGGUAGUUGGUGGGGUAACGGCCUACCAAGCCGAUGAUCCGUAACUGGUCUGAGAGGAUGAUCAGCCACACUGGGACUGAGACACGGCCCAGACUCCUACGGGAGGCAGCAGUGGGGAAUAUUGGACAAUGGGCGCAAGCCUGAUCCAGCAAUGCCGCGUGAGUGAUGAAGGCCUUCGGGUUGUAAAGCUCUUUCGACCGCGACGAUGAUGACGGUAGCGGGAGAAGAUACCCCGGCUAACUUCGUGCCAGCAACCGCGGUAAUACGAACGGGGCGAGCGUUGUUCGGAA